rfam:Enterococcus hirae ATCC 9790, complete genome.
AGAGUGUUAUGAUGUUGGAAGUUAACUCUUCCGAGUCUAGCUCAGCGCUACUCCCCAAAUCUAUCGGUUUGGGG